UCUGCCCCUUGAGGUGUUGCAGUCCGACUAUGUGUUGAGCCUGUGUCAUGAGGGGCGGAGAGUAACCGGGCUACGUCUACGCCAAGGACCCAGGACAGUGGGUACUUUGCAUGACUAUGGCGCCGAUAUU
ensembl:snoRNA